rnacentral:rRNA from 12 species
UUUAAAAUGCUAAAAGAUAAAACUGUUUAAGAUUAGGUAGUUGGUAAAAAGCUUACCAAGCCUUUGAUCUUUAGUUGGUCUUAGCGGAUAAUCAACCACACUGGAACUGAGACAAGGUCCAGGCUAAUUUUUUGGCCAGCAGUGAGGAAUAUUGGACAAUGAACGAAAGUUUGAUCCAGCAAUACUAUAUGAAUGAUGAAGGCUAAUUUGGUCGUAAAGUUCUUUCAACUAAUUAUGAUAAUGACAUAACUUAAAGAAGCAGUCCCGGCAAAUCUCGUGCCAGCAGCCGCGGUAAUACGUAGGGUGCGAGCGUUGUCC